rnacentral:rRNA from 1 species
UUAAAUUGAAGAGUUUGAUCAUGGCUCAGAUUGAACGCUGGCGGCAGGCCUAACACAUGCAAGUCGAACGGUAACAGGAAGCAGCUUGCUGCUUUGCUGACGAGUGGCGGACGGGUGAGUAAUGUCUGGGAAACUGCCUGAUGGAGGGGGAUAACUACUGGAAACGGUGGCUAAUACCGCAUAACGUCGCAAGACCAAAGAGGGGGACCUUCGGGCCUCUUGCCAUCAGAUGUGCCCAGAUGGGAUUAGCUUGUUGGUGAGGUAACGGCUCACCAAGGCGACGAUCCCUAGCUGGUCUGAGAGGAUGACCAGCCACACUGGAACUGAGACACGGUCCAGACUCCUACGGGAGGCAGCAGUGGGGAAUAUUGCACAAUGGGCGCAAGCCUGAUGCAGCCAUGCCGCGUGUAUGAAGAAGGCCUUCGGGUUGUAAAGUACUUUCAGCGGGGAGGAAGGUGUUGUGGUUAAUAACCGCAGCAAUUGACGUUACCCGCAGAAGAAGCACCGGCUAACUCCGUGCCAGCAGCCGCGGUAAUACGGAGGGUGCAAGCGUUAAUCGGAAUUACUGGGCGUAAAGCGCACGCAGGCGGUCUGUCAAGUCGGAUGUGAAAUCCCCGGGCUCAACCUGGGAACUGCAUUCGAAACUGGCAGGCUUGAGUCUUGUAGAGGGGGGUAGAAUUCCAGGUGUAGCGGUGAAAUGCGUAGAGAUCUGGAGGAAUACCGGUGGCGAAGGCGGCCCCCUGGACAAAGACUGACGCUCAGGUGCGAAAGCGUGGGGAGCAAACAGGAUUAGAUACCCUGGUAGUCCACGCCGUAAACGAUGUCUACUUGGAGGUUGUGCCCUUGAGGCGUGGCUUCCGGAGCUAACGCGUUAAGUAGACCGCCUGGGGAGUACGGCCGCAAGGUUAAAACUCAAAUGAAUUGACGGGGGCCCGCACAAGCGGUGGAGCAUGUGGUUUAAUUCGAUGCAACGCGAAGAACCUUACCUGGUCUUGACAUCCACGGAAGAAUUCAGAGAUGGAUUUGUGCCUUCGGGAACCGUGAGACAGGUGCUGCAUGGCUGUCGUCAGCUCGUGUUGUGAAAUGUUGGGUUAAGUCCCGCAACGAGCGCAACCCUUAUCCUUUGUUGCCAGCGAUUAGGUCGGGAACUCAAAGGAGACUGCCAGUGAUAAACUGGAGGAAGGUGGGGAUGACGUCAAGUCAUCAUGGCCCUUACGACCAGGGCUACACACGUGCUACAAUGGCGCAUACAAAGAGAAGCGACCUCGCGAGAGCAAGCGGACCUCAUAAAGUGCGUCGUAGUCCGGAUUGGAGUCUGCAACUCGACUCCAUGAAGUCGGAAUCGCUAGUAAUCGUGGAUCAGAAUGCCACGGUGAAUACGUUCCCGGGCCUUGUACACACCGCCCGUCACACCAUGGGAGUGGGUUGCAAAAGAAGUAGGUAGCUUAACCUUCGGGAGGGCGCUUACCACUUUGUGAUUCAUGACUGGGGUGAAGUCGUAACAAGGUAACCGUAGGGGAACCUGCGGUUGGAUCACCUCCUUACCUUAAAGAAGC